rnacentral:rRNA from 1 species
AACUAGACAUAGCUCUAAAUUUGAUCUCUUAAACUAUCCAACAGCCUAAAACAAAACAUUUAUAAUCAAAUUAAAGUAUAAGUGAUAGAAAUAUUAUAUGACGCUAUAGAGAAAGUACCGCAAGGGAAAUAUGUAAGAAAGCUAUAAGUAAUAAAUAGCAAAGCUCAACACUUGUACCUUUUGCAUAAUGAAUUAACUAGAAAAUAUUAGCAAAAAGAAUUAAAGUUAAGUACCCCGAAACCAGACGAGCUACUUGCUAGCAGCUUAUAGAGCAAAUUCAUCUAUGUGGCAAAAUAGUGAAAUGACUAACAAGUAGUGGCGACAAACCUAUCGAGCCUGGUGAUAGCUGGUUAUCCAGAAUAGAAUUUUAGUUCUAAUUUAAGCUUACCACUCAUAUAAGUAAAAUAUAAUGUAAGCUUAAAUAAUAAUCUAAAAGGGUACAGCCUUUUAGACAUGGGACACAACCCCUGUUAGAGAGUAAGUUUCUAAUAAAUCACAAUAGUAGGCCUAAAAGCAGCCACCAAAUAAGAAAGCGUUCAAGCCCAACAAUACAAAAACUUAAUACCAUAAUAAAUUUUAAGCUCCUAAUACAAAACUGGAUUAUUCUAUUUUCUAAUAGAAGCAAUAAUGUUAAUAUGAGUAACAAGAAACAACUUCUCCUUGCAUAAAUGUAUAUCUGAACGAAUAAAUCACUGGUAGUUACCAAAACUAGUAUUAUUUAUUAUUAAGUCCUAAAUAUCAAUUGUUAAACCAACACAGGAAUGCAAUACAAAGGAAAGAUUAAAAAGAGUAAAAGGAACUCGGCAAACAUAAACCUCGCCUGUUUACCAAAAACAUCACCUCUAGCAUAAAAAGUAUUAGAGGCACUGCCUGCCCAGUGACUUUAGUUUAACGGCCGCGGUAUCCUGACCGUGCAAAGGUAGCAUAAUCACUUGUUCUCUAAAUAAGGACUUGUAUGAAUGGCCUCACGAGGGUUUUGCUGUCUCUUACUCUCAAUCAGUGAAAUUGACAUUCCCGUGAAGAGGCGGGAAUAAAAAAAUAAGACGAGAAGACCCUAUGGAGCUUCAAUUAAUUGGCCCACAGUUCCUCAUAAAUUACCCGCAAGGAAUAAGCUUAUCUUAGCUGAGUCAACAAUUUAGGUUGGGGUGACCUCGGAGUAAAAUCUAACCCCCGAGAAAAAUUAUUGAGACACACAAGUUGAGAUUUUAAUUUUAUACUGAUCCGUCAUUGGCGAUCAACGAAAUAAGUUACCCUAGGGAUAACAGCGCAAUCCUAUUUAAGAGUCCUUAUCGACAAUUAGGGUUUACGACCUCGAUGUUGGAUCAGGACAUCCCAAUGGUGCAGCAGCUAUUAAUGUGUUCGUUUGUUCAACGAUUAAAGUCCUACGUGAUCUGAGUUCAGACCGGAGCAAUCCAGGUCGGUUUCUAUCUAUUUAUAAGUCUCUCCUAGUACGAAAGGAUCAGAGAGACAAGGCCUACCUAUAAUAAGCGCCCUAAUUAAACAGAUGAAUUAAUCUUAAUCUCAUAAUAUAAUAACUAUAAACACCCCAGAUAGAGGAUA